AAAGCAAUUUAGGCAUAAUUCCUAAAAUAAUCUAGUGCUCACACCUCACAAUCAUCGCUUAGCAUUCUAAGUUUAAGUCUACAAAUAAAUCCAUAUUCCUAGUUCGCUUAAACUAAUGCUCUGAUACCAACUGUGACAUCCCCAUUUUUACGGCCAGAAAAGACCAAUUUUGUUUAUGCUUUAUAAAAAUCAGAGUACUUCUUUUCAUAAAAAGGUUGCGGAAUUUGUUCCCAUAAAAAUACGAUAAAUACGUUAUCAAAACAUUUUCGAAGNUGUGACAUCCCCAUUUUCACGGCCAGAAAAGACCGAUUUUGUUUAUGCUUUAUAAAAAUCAGAGUACUUCUUUUCAUAAAAAUGUUGCGGAAUUUGUUCCCAGAAAAAUACGAUAAAUACGUUAUCAAAACAUUUUCGAAGAAACGUAUUUUAUUCAUUUUAAAACGUUUGGGAUGUCAUUGUCAAUACAGGAACAUAAGCAUAAACGGAACUUACAUUUAUUUACACUAGUGAUCUACAUCUCUUUAAUCUCUCAGUGUAAUGUCACUUCAUAUCGACACCUGUGAUAUAAAUAAAC
rnacentral:lncRNA from 1 species